GACGAACGCUGGCGGCGUGCUUAACACAUGCAAGUCGAACGGUGAAGGGACCGGUUUUUGCUGGUUCUGGAUGAGUGGCGAACGGGUGAGUAACACGUGAGUAACCUGCCCCCUUCUUCUGGAUAACCGCAUGAAAGUGUGGCUAAUACGGGAUAUUCUGCGCCUGCUGCAUGGUGGGUGUGGGAAAGAUAUUGUUUCGGUGGGGGAUGGGCUCGCGGCCUAUCAGCUUGUUGGUGGGGUGAUGGCCUACCAAGGCGGUGACGGGUAGCCGGCCUGAGAGGGUGGACGGUCACACUGGGACUGAGACACGGCCCAGACUCCUACGGGAGGCAGCAGUGGGGAAUAUUGCACAAUGGGCGCAAGCCUGAUGCAGCGACGCCGCGUGAGGGAUGGAGGCCUUCGGGUUGUAAACCUCUUUCGCCAGUGAAGCAGGCCUGUCCCUUUUGUGGGUGGGUUGACGGUAGCUGGAUAAGAAGCGCCAGCUAACUACGUG
rnacentral:rRNA from 1 species